AGAUUCAUGUGCAAGUAGCCAAUGUCAGAACGGAGGAACUUGUAAUCCUUCUCCGGGACCCAGUCUUCCCUACACGUGUAACUGUCUAGCCGGGUAUACCGGCGUAGUCUGUGAAACAGCUGUGGAUCUCUGUGCCAAUAACCAGUGUCAGAACGGAGGAUCUUGCAGUCCUUUCCAAGGUUCCAACCCUCCAUACAUCUGCAGUUGCCCAUUGGGAUUUGGUGGACAGUUCUGCCAAUCAGUUGUGAAUCCAUGUGCUGGUAGCCCAUGUCAGAACGGAGGAACUUGUAAUCCUACUCCGGGACCCAGUCUUCCCUACACGUGUAACUGUCUAGCUGGGUAUACCGGCGUACUCUGUCAAACAGUUGUAGAUCCAUGUGCUGGUAGCCAAUGUCAGAAUGGAGGAACUUGUAACCCUUCUCCGGGAUCAAGUCUACCCUACACGUGUAACUGUCUAGCUGGGUACACAGGCCAGCU